rnacentral:tRNA from 1 species
GCCCCCGUGGUCCAACGGAGACGACACCGGCCUCCGAAGCCGGAGAUCCAGGUUCGACUCCUGGCGAGGGCA